rnacentral:tRNA from 1 species
GCCCGGGUGGCGAAAUCGGCAGACGCGCGGGACUUAAAAUCCUGUGUCCGAAAGGACGUGUGGGUUCAAUUCCCACCCCGGGCA